AGUUAGUGACUCCAGUAGCAGAAGGAAGAUAGAUUCUUACUGGGUUUCUGACAUCAGGCAGAGUGCUCCAGAGAGGAAAGACAAUGGGAAAGAGGAAAAGGAAGGAUGCUGUGCACCCUUGGAAUUGGUCCUUGGAAUUGAUACAGACAGUGUGAUGAUUUCCUCUGGAGAAACCUUCUGUGCCCUUCUGCAAGUGUGCGAAGGGCUGAAAUGAGGUCUGAGAUAAGAAAAGAUGUGAUGUGCCAUGAAAUGGAGGAAGCCUGUAACUCACGUUUGCUGCCCCUGCAGUCAGGAAUACAGCAGAGAUGGGGAAUGUCACCACUUUCAGGGAACCCCAGCAGCAGCAGCUGCCACCACAGCAGCAACCAGUUUGGCACAGGAAAAGUAGAUAUGGCAGGACCAAAAUAUGAGCUGUUUGUCCUUGUCAGCCAUGUGAUCAGAAGGGGUACAUCCCACUGCCACAGAGCUCCAU